rnacentral:rRNA from 1 species
UACGAAGGGGGCUAGCGUUGCUCGGAAUCACUGGGCGUAAAGCGCACGUAGGCGGCUUCUAAGUCAGGGGUGAAAUCCUGGAGCUCAACUCCAGAACUGCCUUUGAUACUGGAGAGCUAGAGUCCGGAAGAGGUGAGUGGAACUGCGAGUGUAGAGGUGAAUCGUAGAUAUUCGCAAGAACACCAGUGGCGAAGGCGGCUCACUGGUCCGGUACUGACGCUGAGGUGCGAAAGCGUGGGGAGCAAACAGG